UGUCCAACCCCGCCUUCCUACAGGUUGCAGUGAGAGGCUUCUCAAAUGCUGUAGUUUGAUAACAGGGUAUAGAACAAAUUAUUUACACUGAAAUACAUUGUGUUCUCUGCCGAUGACAAGACAGAGAAGAGAAAAUUACAUGAUGUGCUGUUUAACAGAACCCUUCUAUGUGGAAGAUUUUCAGUUUGUUUUAUAAGGAUUAUAACCAUAAAUCUUAGCCUGGGAACAGGGCACCGAUGCUCAUGAGGACAACCCAAGUCAGGAAAGGGAAGACACCAGUACUCCCAGAGGAGGGGAACUUUCUGAAAGAGAAAAAUGGCGUGAACCACUUGGCGUCUAGCCCCAGUGCGGAAGGGAGGUUCACGAUAGAACCGCAGAAGACCAAACACUCGUCACAUCAGCAGGCACUGGUCACUGGCUGGAAAUAGCAGAUCUCACUCUAACAAAUGAGAGCAGAUGGCAUUGAGGAUGAAGUACGUGAGCCUCUGCCAGAACCCGAUCCAGCCAUCAGGUUUAGCCUGUGAAGCUGUCUUACAGGAGACAGCACAGGCUUAAAAGCUAGUGAACCGUACUGGAGCUCGUGUGCAUGACAGAUAACGCUCACACACACCCAUAAUCCUGAAGAAAAUAGCAGGGUG